UACGGAGGGUGCAAGCGUUAUCCGGAUUUACUGGGUUAAAGGUGUGUAGGCGGGCAUUUAAGUCAGCGGUGAAAUCUCCGGCUCAACCUGGAAACUGCCAUUGAUACUAUUUGUCUUGAAUUUUGUUGAGGUUGGCGGAAUAUGUCAUGUAGCGGCGAAAUGCAUAGAUAUGACAUAGAACUCCGAUUGCGAAGGCAGCUAACUAAGCAAAUAUUGACGCUGAGGCACGAAAGCGUGGGGAU
rnacentral:rRNA from 1 species